GAUGAACGCUGGCGGCGUGCCUAAUACAUGCAAGUCGAGCGAACGGACGAGAAGCUUGCUUCUCUGAUGUUAGCGGCGGACGGGUGAGUAACACGUGGAUAACCUACCUAUAAGACUGGGAUAACUUCGGGAAACCGGAGCUAAUACCGGAUAAUAUUUUGAACCGCAUGGUUCAAAAGUGAAAGACGGUCUUGCUGUCACUUAUAGAUGGAUCCGCGCUGCAUUAGCUAGUUGGUAAGGUAACGGCUUACCAAGGCAACGAUGCAUAGCCGACCUGAGAGAGUGAUCGGCCACACUGGAACUGAGACACGGUCCAGACGACUACGGGAGGCAGCAGUAGGGAAUCUUCCGCAAUGGGCGAAAGCCUGACGGAGCAACGCCGCGUGAGUGAUGAAGGUCUUCGGAGCGUAAAACUCUGUUAUUAGGGAAGAACAUAUGUGUAAGUAACUGUGCACAGCGUGACGGUAACUAAUCAGAAAGCCACGGCUAACUACGUG
rnacentral:rRNA from 1 species